UAGAGUUUGAUCCUGGCUCAGGACGAACGCUGGCGGCGUGCCUAAUACAUGCAAGUAGAACGCUGAAGAGAGGAGCUUGCUCUUCUUGGAUGAGUUGCGAACGGGUGAGUAACGCGUAGGUAACCUGCCUUGUAGCGGGGGAUAACUAUUGGAAACGAUAGCUAAUACCGCAUAACAAUGGAUGACACAUGUCAUUUAUUUGAAAGGGGCAAUUGCUCCACUACAAGAUGGACCUGCGUUGUAUUAGCUAGUAGGUGAGGUAAUGGCUCACCUAGGCGACGAUACAUAGCCGACCUGAGAGGGUGAUCGGCCACACUGGGACUGAGACACGGCCCAGACUCCUACGGGAGGCAGCAGUAGGGAAUCUUCGGCAAUGGGGGCAACCCUGACCGAGCAACGCCGCGUGAGUGAAGAAGGUUUUCGGAUCGUAAAGCUCUGUUGUAAGUCAAGAACGGGUGUGAGAGUGGAAAGUUCACACUGUGACGGUAGCUUACCAGAAAGGGACGGCUAACUACGUGCCAGCAGCCGCGGUAAUACGUAGGUCCCGAGCGUUGUCCGGAUUUAUUGGGCGUAAAGCGAGCGCAGGCGGUUUGAUAAGUCUGAAGUUAAAGGCUGUGGCUCAACCAUAGUUCGCUUUGGAAACUGUCAAACUUGAGUGCAGAAGGGGAGAGUGGAAUUCCAUGUGUAGCGGUGAAAUGCGUAGAUAUAUGGAGGAACCACCCGGUGGCGAAAGCGGCUCUCUGGUCUGUAANCUGACCGCUGAGGCUCGAAAGCGUGGGGAGCGAACAGGAUUAGAUACCCUGGUAGUCCACGCCGUAAACGAUGAGUGCUAGGUGUUGGAUCCUUUCCGGGAUUCAGUGCCGCAGCUAACGCAUUAAGCACUCCGCCUGGGGAGUACGACCGCAAGGUUGAAACUCAAAGGAAUUGACGGGGGCCCNCACAAGCGGUGGAGCAUGUGGUUUAAUUCGAACCACCCGAAAAACCUUACCAGGUCUUGACUNCCCGAUGCUAUUUUC
rnacentral:rRNA from 1 species